ACAGCAGUCGCCACGGUAAAACGGAGGGUGCAAGCGUUAAUCGGAAUUACUGGGCGUAAAGCGCACGCAGGCGGUCAUAUAAGUCAGAUGUGAAAUCCCCGGGCUUAACCUGGGAACUGCAUUUGAGACUGUAUGGCUAGAGCGUUGUAGAGGGGGGUAGAAUUCCAGGUGUAGCAGUGAAAUGCGUAGAUAUGUGGAGGAAUACCGAUGGCGAAGGCAGCCCCCUGGACUAAGACUGACGCUCAUGUACGAAAGCGUGGGGAGCAAACAGGAUUAGAUACCCGCGUAGUCCCUGUCUCUUAUAC
rnacentral:rRNA from 1 species